rnacentral:lncRNA from 1 species
CGGUUACUAUUCUAGGACAGGUUGAACCAACCAAACUUCAGUGGGGAGGGUACUUACCUAUGGAACUCAUGCAAGCCUUAAAACCUAGGAAUAAUUGUUGUGUGACAUGCUUGUGCUUGCAUAACAGCAUAACAUCAUAACAUCAUAACAUCAUAACAUCAUCAUACUAACCAUUUCAAGGACUUAGGAAUUUAGCUUUGCUCUGUUGAACAGGUUAUGGCUUCCAGGAAGACUAUCCGGAUCAAUCUUGUAGCAAUCUCUCCUCAACUCAAGGAUUUGGUGUCAGAACUCCCCGAUCAUGCUCAGUUCAACAAGAAACAUGGUCAUCUUCUCAACUUAGUUACCACUGGUUUCAAAGAAGAUAUGAUGAGAGUCCUAUUC